rnacentral:rRNA from 1 species
UACGUAGGGGGCUAGCGUUGUCCGGAAUCAUUGGGCGUAAAGCGCGCGUAGGCGGCCCGGUAAGUCCGCUGUAAAAGUCAAAGGCUCAACCUUUGAAUGUCAGUGGAUACUGCCGGGCUAGAGUCCGGAAGAGGCGAGUGGAACUCCUGGUGUAGCGGUGAAAUGCGCAGAUAUCAGGAGGAACACCAAUGGCGAAGGCAGCACUCUGGGACGUGACUGACGCUGAGACGCGAAAGCCAGGGGAGCAAACGGG